GCCCGGGUAGCCCAACGGCAGGAGGCAGCCGGUUCAGGACCGGCACAGUGGGGGUUCGAAUCCCUCCCCGGGUA
rnacentral:tRNA from 1 species